rnacentral:lncRNA from 1 species
UUCGAUCAUGGAUUACAAAAAAAUCGAUCAAGUAUUACAAAACAUUCGAUCAUGGAUUACAAAAAAAAAAAGAAAAGAAAUUAUGUUCUUCACAUAGCCAUUUCCAUUAGCGAUUUUAACUCAAAAAUCCACCUCUAAGUGAAUAAAUUACAUCCAAUUGAGUAUAUUUUCUGAUAAACAACAAUAUAAGGAAUCAAAACCCUAAAUUUUUAACACAUUAUUUCUAAUAUAUCAUGAAAACAAAAUCAAAAGGCGGAAAAAAAAAAAAACAGCGGAAUUUUGGUUCCGUAGACAUCUCAGUGUUCAUCUCAAAUUUCAUGCUGUAAUUGACCAGAUUACGUAAAAUUGGAAAUUUUAAAUCAUACUAGACACAAUAAAGAUUAAAAACCCUAAUUAUUGAACUCAUUAUGUUCAAAAUAUGUCGUGAAAUAAAUCAAAUGGCGGAAAAAAAAAAAAACCCAAACUUCUUACCUGAUUUUGUGAACCGAAGCCUUCAAUAUCCAAAAAACUCUGUUUUUCUCAACGAUUAUCACAAAUUAGUAACAAAAGGUUUUGAUUCACAGCUUUACGAUCAAACUGCCUUCAAAUUUUGAAAGAUU